UGAAUUUGUUACAAUAUUGCUUCUGUUUUAUGUUUUGGCUCUUUGGCCGCGAGGCAUGGGGGAUCUUAGCUCCGCGACCAGGGAUCGAACCCGCACCGCCCUCAUUGAAAGGCGAAGUCCCAACCACUGGACCGCCAGGGAAGUCCCCUUGCCUGGCCUAAGCUGCCAGCCCUAAGGGGCCCGUUCACCUUCCCUUGAUGGGGACGCCCUCUUACCUGCUCAGCACAUGGGCACCAGCAACCACAUGGCCCAGAGGGGGAUGACGUUUGUCUUCUCAUCCCAGCAUUAAAAGCGGAACUUCAACUUUGCCACCUCAAGAUUCACAGGGAAGAAAAAGAUUCAAAAACUGUGAUAAAACAUCUUCAAUCCAAA